rnacentral:rRNA from 1 species
CACAGCUCAAACAAAUUACCACACUAAUACCUAUAACUUCUUCUUACCCUACCAAACUAUCGAGCCCAUUUAUAUUAUUAUAAAAAAGUUUAUGUUAGAACUAGUAACAAGAAACGAACUUCUCUUAAUGCAAGUGUACAUCAGAUUGAACCAAUCACUGAUAAUUACCGGCCCAUCGCUAAGGGGAAUGUAACAACCCUUCAAGAAAACCAUACACAAACAACCGUUAAACUUACACAAGAGCAUCUCAAGAAAGAUUAAAAGGUGCGGAAGGAACUCGGCAAACACGAACUUCGCCUGUUUACCAAAAACAUCGCCUCUUGCAACCCACAUAUAAGAGGUAACGCCUGCCCAGUGACCAUGUGUUCAACGGCCGCGGUAUU